rnacentral:rRNA from 1 species
AAUGAACGCUGGCGGCAGGCCUAACACAUGCAAGUCGAACGGAUCCUUCGGGAUUAGUGGCGGACGGGUGAGUAACGCGUGGGAACAUACCCAAAGGUACGGAAUAGCCUCGGGAAACUGGGAGUAAUACCGUAUGUGCUCGAAAGAGGCAAGAUUUAUCGCCUUUGGAUUGGCCCGCGUUGGAUUAGGUAGUUGGUGGGGUAAUGGCCUACCAAGCCGACGAUCCAUAGCUGGUUUGAGAGGAUGAUCAGCCACACUGGGACUGAGACACGGCCCAGACUCCUACGGGAGGCAGCAGUGGGGAAUAUUGCGCAAUGGGCGAAAGCCUGACGCAGCAACGCCGCGUGCGGGAUGACGGCCUUCGGGUUGUAAACCGCUUUCAGCAGGGAAGAAGCCGCAAGGUGACGGUACCUGCAGAAGAAGCACCGGCUAACUACGUGCCAGCAGCCGCGGUAA